AUGCCACUGAGCAAGUUUUUUUUCUGUAUCAAACUCAAUUCUUGGUUGGUACUUACCUCCCUAUACAUGGUAAUACCAUUCAUCUUAGGGGUUUUUGCAGGGCAAUACAGACAGACACUAACAUAUUCACCAAGAGAAAGGACUCACUUAUAUAUGUCUGCUGCAAUCAAAAUGUGCUUCUUUCACUGUCCUUUCAUUCCCAGCAGACAGGAGAGGAGCAUGAAGAAGGAAAACCAGAGCAGCGUGUCUGAGUUCCUCCUUCUGGGGCUCCCCAUCCAGCCAGAGCAGCAGGGCAUAUUCUUCACCCUGUUUCUGGCCGUGUACCUGACCACAGUUCUGGGCAACCUGCUCAUCAUCCUGCUCAUCAGGCUGGAUGCUCGCCUCCACACCCCCAUGUACUUCUUCCUCAGCCACUUGGCCCUCACUGACGUCUCCUUUUCAUCUGUCACCGUCCCUAAAAUGCUGAUAAACAUGCACACUCUGGAUCAAUCCAUCCCCUAUGCAGGAUGCAUAACACAGAUGUUUUUCUUCCUCUUUUUUACUGGUCUGGAUGAUUUCCUGCUCACCUCGAUGGCCUAUGAUCGGUAUGUGGCCAUCUGCCACCCUCUCCACUACAGCACCGUCAUGGGACAGGGGCUGUGCACCUUCCUAGUAAGUGUGUCCUGGAUUCUUUCCUGUGCCAGUGCCCUGUGUCACACCCUCCUCCUGACCCAGCUGUCCUUUUGUGCUGACCACAGCAUCCCCCAUUUCUUCUGUGACCUUGAUGCCCUGCUGAAGCUCUCCUGCUCAGACACAUCCCUCAAUGAGCUGGCCAUUUUCACAGUAGGAGUGACCUGCAUCGUCCUCCCACUAGUAAGCAUCCUGAUCUCUUAUGGACGUAUCGGGGCCACCAUCCUGAAGGUCCCCUCCACCAAGGGGAUCUGCAAAGCAUUGUCCACAUGUAGCUCCCACCUCUCUGUAGUGUCUCUGUAUUAUGGAACAAUUAUUGGACUGUAUUUUUUCCCCUCAUCCAGCACCUCCAGGGACAAGAGCACCGUUGCCUCUGUGAUGUAUACAGUGGUCACUCCACUACUGAACCCCUUCAUUUAUAGCCUCAGGAACAGGGACAUGAAGGGGGCCCUGGAGAGACUCUUGCACAGGGCAAAACUCUUAUCUCAAUGA
rnacentral:lncRNA from 1 species